rnacentral:rRNA from 1 species
UACAGAGGGGGCAAGCGUUGUUCGGAAUUACUGGGCGUAAAGGGCGCGUAGGCGGCCUUCUAAGUCGAACGUGAAAUCCCUGGGCUCAACCCAGGAACUGCGUCCGAUACUGGAAGGCUUGAAUCCGGGAGAGGGAUGCGGAAUUCCAGGUGUAGCGGUGAAAUGCGUAGAUAUCUGGAGGAAUACCGGUGGCGAAGGCGCAUCCUGGACCGGCAUUGACGCUGAGGAGCGAAAGCCAGGGGAGCAAACGGGG